AAAUUUCAACUCAAAUUUGAAUAAAAAUGUUUUUGGGUUGUUCUAAAAAAAUAAUAAGGUUUUUGAAUCAAGAUAAGAACAAAUUCUUUGACAUAAACGAAAGCUCCCCUCCCCCUUUUUUUUUAGCCACACAAACCUAAAGGAUGAAUUGUGGGGUCCAAAAGAGACAUAUGGUCACAUUUUAAAACUGCCUACAAGACACCUAUUUUAGUAAAG
rnacentral:lncRNA from 1 species